UCCGGUGUGCUUUGCUCGUGGAUCCGCAAUCAACGUUCGCGUUCGCUCGCUCAUCGCCGCGCCGGUCCUCUUCGCGAGUGUGAGUGAGUGUUAUAAUCAGUGUCUUCACGUCGUUCUCGACAUCAUUUAUUUAUUUUAUUCGAAUUAUCGUAUCAAUUCGACGCGACCGAAUCACGCGAAGUUGGCCCCGACGGCCGGCCAUCUUGCUCAAUUUCCCAUCGUUCCUUGCGUUCUUCGUGACUUCGCAUUUUCGUGCUGGAGACGUGGAGUCCGGGCGAGUUCUAAAGCGGAUUGGAUUACCGGCUGCGCUUUCGUAUUUUAAGUGUGUUUCCGCUCGUACUUCCGCGUUGUUGAAGUGUUGAAGUGUCAACGUGUUUAAGUGUCAAAGUGUUGAAGUGUCACUCUGCGACGAACUAGGCUCGUAUGUUUCGCAAAAAUCUCGGGUGAAUUUCCGCAACGGUCGCGCCGCCAUUUUGUCAAUGGUGUACUUCGACGUCGUUCGAGUCUCUCUAAUAUAUAAUCGGCAAAGCUUGUGCGCAAAUUCUUUGUCGAAUUAUUGAGUGAAACAUAAUUUAGUGAAAUAUAAAAUCAGUGAAGUGCAGUGUUCAUUUCUGGAAUAUCGGCGACUUCUGAGUGUGUGUGUGGACGAAAUCGCUUUGUCGGUCGAUGAGGCCCUCCGAGUAGCCUUGAAUAAUGCGGCGACGAAAAAUAGAGCUUCGGUUUUAUUCGCGCGCGAAUAAGCUCUCGUGAUUUUCGCGUUUUACCGAAACGCGUCGAAAAUGUGAUUGAUAAUUAAAACCCGAGCGUCGCCGCAAACGAAAAAAAGUAACGCGAGUGUAAAGUGUUUCAACGCUUUUUCGAGCACAGUUCUUGGAUACAGAGGUUGGUUUUCGACAAAUAAAAUGAUACUGCCGAGGAAUCUGAAAAAGAUAAUUCGAAAUAUAAAUUUAAGCGGACAACCCUGACAACUUUCAAGGAAAAGGAAGUUUCAAGCAGGCAUCGGGCACCAGCGGAGCAACCUGAAGUACAGACAAAGUAGCUUCGAUUUCAAUAAACUCCGCUGUUACGCAUCGGUGCUGCAUCGG